AAACUUACCGAAAUUAAUUGAUGCAAUACGAUCUGAAAUAAAUCGUAGCCAAAAUUUUACUUGUUGAAGUUGUAUAGUGAGUGGCUCUCUAAGACUGACUGUAAUAAGGUGUACAGCAGGUUGUUGAAAAAAGUAACUGAGACACAGCCUCAACACAGCCUCGUUUAACGGCACUAAUCAUUGCUCCACCAAGACCUUGAGAGGCUUCUGAUUCCUACAGAAGAACAAAUAAGUUAUUUUGAUCAGUAUUAUAUUAUUAUAUUAUUUUAUAUUAUGAUCAAUUAUACUACAAUACACAAUUACAAAA